CAAACUCCAAGCUUCCAUUUCAAGCAUGGAUCGAUGUCAAGAAUGCAUAUGAAGCUUUAAAUUGUCUUCACGAAGCUGGAAGAAUAAAAAUGAAGUGAUUUGGACGUCGGAAAGUUGAGAUAUGACGAGUUGCAGGUUUAGCUGGAAUAUCGAAGGAAUUUCCGGCAAGUUCCAUCGGUUUUAGGACCUUUGAAAGUUUCCGGUGAACGACGACGGCGACGGCGACCGAUAAGGCUAACCGGAGAAGAAGAUAGAAUAUUUCGUCAAAGUUGACGGAAUAUUCUGAUGUCAUCAGGGUUGACUUAUCUCGAGGACGAGCGCAGUCAAGGGUGACUCAGGGGCUACGACCCUUCGACAUACAAGUUUUAGGUAUACUGCUGUUGGUGGCGUACGAGGAUUCCGGCAGUUUUGACAUAUAUAAAUAAUUGUAGGACAUCUUAUGGUACUGUAUAAUUAGUACUCG
rnacentral:sRNA from 1 species